AGCAUUAAUUUUAAAAUAUAUUUUUUAAAUUAAGCAACAUAAUAUUCAGCAUUGUGUAAUGGUUUGCCUAACUUAAACUGAACAAAAUUUUUCAAAAAUUUAGCGAUUGAAAUGUGGGGAAUAAGUUUAGGUAAAAUGGGAGAUGAUUUUACAUUUUCAAUUUAAAACAAUUUUUGUAUUAAAGAAAUGUAUAUUUAUUUAGGUGAGUAAAAUUCUAAAAAAAACCAAGUAGGUAGGACAUCAAACUCUUCUAGCGUAACAUCUUUUUAUAGCUUUUACAGGAAAUAGCGGUUUCACACACCACUAACCUCCAAAAUAGUGCUAUUCGUGUUUUUUACAAUCAAAUUUUAUAGUUAUACCAAUUUAUUUCGUAGUAUCAAAUUUGAUGAACUUGCACAAAUUUUGAUAUUUUUGACACAUUUUGCUAGCACAAUUUCAAUAUUGAUAGAGGUAGGAAGGCACAAAUUGAUAAAGGUGUCAUAUGUUUUGAAAAAAUGAUCUAAUGCAUAUUUUGAGUAUCUCAUGUAUAAAUUUAACCCUCAAAAGGGCCCAUAUUUUCAGUUCACAUACAUCGUAAAUUUUGCCUAGUGGAUAAAAGUAACAAAGAGAGGAAAAGUGGAAAUUUGUAUUAAUAGUAAGAUUCAUGGCAAUAAUUUUCGAUUAUAAUGUCAGAUACCAGGGUAAUCAUGGAAGACGAUAGGGCAACAGAUUUAGUUUUAGAAAAGACGUACUUUGUGAGGACGCUGCUACACAAUACGCUAUCCGCAGCAAUACCGGAAAAGCUUAUUUGACUGGUGAGGAUGAUGCUGGAAAAUAUCAAGAGUGUGAUAAAAGUGAACGGAAGCGUCUCGAGAGAGCUAGUCACCUUUAGGCAAAAAGAUACCUUGUCCUGUACGUUGAUUAAUCUGAUUUUAGGAAGGGUCAUCAGGAGCACCGGAAUACGCGGACAAUGUGGAUUUGUUAUGCAGAAGACAAAUAGAACUGGGCACACGCCUAUGGCAGAUGGAAUAGGAAUCGAGGACGGCUCAUUAUUAACGAGAAUAAGACAAAAUAUAUGUUCAUGUUUAAAGGACGUGACAUCAUUUAAAUAUCUGCAAUUCCUCUUAACAUAGAACAAUGAGAAUGGGCUGGAGAUCGAAGAAAGAAUCAAAGCUGGAAACAGAGUGUACUUUAGCCCCCAGGUCAUGAUUACUGAAUAGAAAUACAAAGAAGCGCAUUUAUAGACCAUUCUUGCGCCCGAUGGUUAUUCCUGCAAGACUAGGGUACUAAAUAAGAAGGUCCAGUAGCGCCUGGACACGUGGGAGAGAAAAAUUAUUCAUUCGAUUCACCCCGAUUUGUGGCGGAUCCGUACAAACGUACCAAUUAUAUAAUGAGCCAGCCCUUACAACCGAAGUAAGGAAGGCUAGACUUACAUAACUUGGCUAAAUGGAGAGGAUGUCGGAAAAGAGGGCGGUAAGAAGAGCAUACCUAGUGACCUGAGGAGGCUGGGAGUGAGGGAAUAGAGGCGCUGAGCACUCUGCAGGUUAUCGGCAAGCAAUUUUACAAUUUAUGAACAAUGAAAGUAAUUUAAUUUUCAUCAUUUUAUAUCGUCAGAAAUCUGGAAAUUGUAUCAUCAAAUAUACGGUUUCUUAUGAUAGGCAAACUAUACCUAUUUGUACAAAAUCUAUUAAAAUUAGGAAAGUUUCCGACAGAACAGUGGUAUUAUUCCAGAAAUAAAAAACCAAACAUGAAAUAUCUCUCUUCGCUAUAUCAAUAAGGUAUAAUUGAUAUAAUUGAAUUUGGAAAAUUGCAAGAAGAAAAAUUUUGAAGAUACGAAAUACCAGGGCACUCUUCUUUUAUAGGCAUAUUUUUCAAACCCAAUUACAUUUAUACUUUGGACACCCAACACCUUGUAGCAUUUGUGACGCUAGAGACAAAUCAGACAAGCAUCAAUGAAAUUGGGAAUAUGUUUUUAAUGCGCAAAACAAUAAACACACUGGGAUGAAAUAAACACUGGAAUGUUGAGGACCUAUAAGAAGGAAUGUUUACAUAAAAUUUGUCAUUCAGCCAAUGAUAGCAGAACUUUCUAUACAUGAUCGCCUCUUCGAAUAUUCGAUUAUAUAUGAAACGAAGACACGAAUUUUGCACAACCUUAAACUCUCACGGGAUAAAUAUGAACCAAAUACGACAUCACGGCAAUUAAAGUGAGACAACACAAGAGAAUCACAUUUCAGAUCUUGUGCUAAAAGCAUCUUACAGCAGUAAAGACUUUCUAGGGAACUUCUUCAAUAAAACACAUUAAGUGUGUCUUAUUAGGGUUCACUAAAAGAGCAUGUCUCUUAAUCCGCACAUAUAAGUUACUUAAAUCUUCCGUUAUUUUAUCACAAGUUUCUGAUCGCUCACCAGGCAGGAAAUCUAGAUAACGUUGAGAAUUAUCAACAUAAAGAUUAUAAGAACAAUACUUUAACUUUGAGAAUAUAUUGCUGGUAUAGAUUGCAAAUAAGAUAAGUACUUUAGAAAAAUAAUUGAAAUCAGCGUAUAUCCUUAUCUUGAACUCGAAACCAAAACUGUUGUGAAACUGAUCUCACGUCGACUACAGCUGAAGAUUUUAAGCCAUUGUAUUUAAUCCACUAGAACCGACAGUUUUUAGGGAAAACAAGGAUAAAGAAAAGCAUUGCACGACUAAUCAAUUUGUCGCACGGUUUCCUGGGAGUUAUUACCGGUGCUCGAUUAUCUUAGUGCGAUAGUGCAGCAUCUGUGCUGAUAAACUUCUAAGGCUUCUUCAAUGAGCGGAACAAAUUAUAUCCGGCCUGCAAUAUUAAGUCUUGUAAUGGAGUAUUUUAGAUUGUAAUCGGAUGCGGUGGCCAUAAUCUAUUAUGCUACAUGCACAAACUCCAAACUAGCUAAACCCUAGUUAUAGCUUGUACCAAUGAAUCGAGUUGUAUACAACCAGCGUAGACCCAAUACGACGAAAUUAUAUUUUUAGUGUAGGAAAUAGAGCAUAUGUACUUUAGCUUAUAGCAUCUACUCAGGUCACGAUUACUGAAUAGAAAUACAAAGAAGCGCAUUUAUAGACCACUCUUGCGUCCAAUGGUUAUGUGCCUGCAAGACUACUAAAUAAGAAGGUCCAGCGAUGACUGGACACGUGAGGGAAAAAAUUCUCACAAACAGAACAAAUUACAUCCGGCCUGCAAUAUCAAGUCUUUUAAUGGAGUAUUUCAGUUAUGCUACAUGCACAAACUUUAAACUUCUAAAACCUAGUUAUAGCCUGUACCGAUUAAUCGAGAUGACCUAGUUUAGCAUUUUUUUUUUCAGGGUGGUGUAACCGAGGAGAUACUUAUACAGCAGGAAUUCGACACUGUAACAGUAUGAGCCCAUUCCUAUCUCAUCUGAUUAUGAACAAAACCAACAAAUAAAAAUCCUUGAAAAUCUCAUGUUAUACAGAAAGGGUGCAUACCACACUUUAAAAAAAGGCGGCCUUUUGAUGGCGGAAAGCGAUUAUGACUUGCAACGAAUGUUAUACCGAUUCCAAGCCACAGCGAAAGUACUAAACAUGGAGAUAUCCGGGAGAAGACUAAAGCAGUGGUGUUAUUGAAAGAGCGUGUCAGGUACAAGUUGGCAGUGAAUGAUCGCCCCAUUAGACCGAGCCUGCACUAUCUAGCUACUCUACUCUAGCUACAGAAAUUUACACCAAGAAGUUAAGGCACAGGUCAACAAAUGCUCCCGAAUAUCUGGAUAUUUAAGAGAGGUCUAAAAGACAUCGUAAGGAGGAACAAACACAUGUCUAAAGUGAACAAAUACUGACUUAUGCAUCGGAAACUAGGGCGGAUACGUCAAAAAUCAAGAGAGAAAUCGUUUAAAAGAUAAGAGAUCAGAUAAGAAGCUCAGCAAUACAGGAGGAACUAAGGAUCCCUGAUGUGAUACAAUUUGUGCGGGCAAUGCGCUGGUAUUGGAGAGAGCACGUGGUCAGGAUGGACGAUAAGUGUUGGGUGAAAUAGUGAGAAAACUUGUCGGACGACCAUUGAAAAGGUGACAUGAAUGUAGAGAAAACAAGACAUAGUCUUAAAAAAAGAUACUGAAGAGAAAAUGCGCAAUGGAGUCCUGGAAGAAAUUUGUUGGGGGACCAGGAACGUGAUUGAAGGAUGAAAAAGCAUGUGGAAAAGUAGUGCAAGAGAAACCAAGAUGAUGAUUAUGAUUAAGUCGAACUCUCUUGCGGAGUACAAGUUGGAGACGUUCAUUUCGGAUUCUGCACAAGCGGAAAAUGAGGUUAAAUAAUCCCAUUUUUGCAAUAAUUUUGAUGUAAAAACUUUUAUUUUUUUGUGUUUACAAA